UACGAGUGGUCCAAGCGUUAGUCGGAAUCACUGGGCUUAAAGGGUGCGUAGGCGGACUUGUAAGUGCCUUGUGAAAUCCCAUGGCUCAACCAUGGAACUGCAGGGCAUACUGCGAGUCUUGAGGAAUCUAGAGGCCGGCAGAACGAUAGGUGGAGCGGUGGAAUGCGUAGAUAUCUAUCGGAAUGCCAAAGGUGAAGACAGCCGGCUGGGGAUUUCCUGACGCUGAGGCACGAAAGCGUGGGGAUCAAAC
rnacentral:rRNA from 1 species